rnacentral:misc_RNA from 1 species
UAUCAGUACUGCAGCACUUCGCACGUGGACCCUAAACUCUCGGGGCUAGCAGAAUUCAAUGAAAAAAAGCUUUGCUCCAAUUGUUGUCAAAUGUGACAAAUAAUUUACAUUUAAAACUGUGAUUCAAAAUGGAGGAUAGUGUUGAAUGCCCUCUUUGUGCCCAAUCUUUCUCUAAAACGAAUAUUCAAACCCAUGCUAGCACCUGCGGGAUGGAAUCGAAGAAACCUUUGAAAAGAACACUUUCUGAUAUAUUCGGACAUACAACAAAGAAAGAUCAGACCAAGAAGCCUCGAUUGGACGAACCUGCGAAAGAGGUGUUUUGUCCUAGCCCCGGAUUAAAACCCAAAUCUUCCAUGAAUCCUGCUCCUCUGGCAGAGAGAAUGCGACCUCAGGAUUUGUCAACUUAUAUCGGACAGGAGAGCGUUGUUGGAGCUAGUUCUCAGCUCCGGAAGCUAUUAGAGGCUGAAACUAUUCCUAGCUUAGUACUCUGGGGACCACCUGGAUGCGGGAAAACUAGUCUAGCAAACGUUAUCGCGAACAAGGUUAAAGGGAAAUGCAAGUUUGUUAAGAUGUCUGCCUGCACAUGUGGAGUAAAUGAAGUUCGUGAAGUAGUGAAGCAGGCAAAGAACGAGCAGGCGAUGUUUAAACGGAAUACAAUUUUAUUCAUGGACGAGGUCCACAGGUUCAACAAGGCACAGCAGGAUACUUUCCUUCCUCAUAUUGAAUCAGGUGUGAUAACCUUUAUUGGAGCUACAACAGAGAAUCCAUCGUUCAGUCUGAACUCCGCUCUUCUCUCUAGAUGUAGAAUCAUUGUGUUAGAAAAGUUGUCGCCUGAGUCCCUGAGACAGAUCCUAGAACGAGCCCUGGGCGAAAAUAAUAUCAAGGUGGUGGAGAAAUUGGACAAGGACCGGAACAGUAUAUCUGAUGAAUCCAUAACCUACCUCACCAACAUUGUAGAUGGGGAUGCAAGGUCAGCUCUGAAUACCCUGCAGUUGUUGAUAAAUAGUAGAGAGGCCAACUCGCACAUUGAUCUGGAACAAGUUAAGGAGGCUGCUAAAAGGUCUCAUGUAUUGUAUGACCGGAAGGGGGAUGAGCACUUUUUUAUGGCUUCUGCUCUGCAAAAGUCGAUACGAGGUUCUGAUGAUAAUGCUGCUCUGUACUGGUUUGGACGGAUGAUAAAAGGAGGAGAGGAUCCAACCUUCAUUGCUAGAAGACUGGUCAGGAUUGCUAGUGAAGAUGUAGGAUUGGGAGAUCCUUCGGCACUUCCUCUAGCUGUAGCAGCUUUCCAGGGAACUCAAUUGAUUGGGAAACCGGAGUGUGACGUUCUUCUUGCGCAUGCUACAGUUCAUCUUGCAAGAGCUAAGAAGAGUCAUGAGAUAUACAACGCACUGAAUGCCGUUUAUUCUAACAUUGAUCAGGGUGUUCUUCCACCCGUGCCUCUACACCUGAGGAACUCGACCUCUAGGGCCACGACGGAGCUGGGCUGGGGGAAGGGAUAUUCUGCCAACCUUGAGAAGGUUCAGAGCAUCUCCUACCUACCGGAGGAGCUCAAGGGGGUUAAUUUCUUCAAUGAGAAAAAUGGAGAUUAAAGGGAUUGACGAGUAAACGUUAUUUUUAUGCGACUAUUAAUAUGUGCCUUUUUUUGCGUUACAUUCGAUUUAUUUUUACAGUGAAAUUACAAUAAUUUUCAUAAGUCUUUUAGAUAAAAACAGUGACAAAUGCCGUCUUGUUUGAUGAAGGUCGUUGCAGUAAAUAUUUUGACUAAAAAUGCCCGCGACUAGGAUUUUGGAGGGCGAACUGUGAAAGUGCUUAUAAUGGUAGAAGAGACAACAGGAGGAGUUAAAGCUCUCAGUUAAAUCAAUAAUUGUGUCAUUACAUUGCUCAACCUCUACCGCCUGCCCUUGUCUAUCGAUUUCUACGAUACACCUCUUAAAAUCCUCCAGGAAUUUUAAGAUAAUUCCAUCUUUCAAAAGAGGUCCGCUCAACCUGCAGAUGAGACACUGCAUACACGCAGCGCUGUCCUGCUUCAGGUUGACCUUAUCUUUGAACGGUAAAAGAUGAAUCAAGGACUUCAGAUCAACUGCUUCAAUAUGGAGGCACUUUGCCGUUUUAAAAGGGUCUCUAGCCUCUUCAUCUAGAUAGGACACUUCAGGGUUAAUCGUACUGUAGAGGAUAUAGUCAAAUCUUCAUCACUGGAAUUUGAUUGUCUAGUAUAAAAGUCCAAAGUCCUAGUAUCCUCUGGUAACUUCACUUUCAUGUAAAAUAACAUGGUUAAGUACUUUCCUUCCACUCCACAGUCCACACAAGUAACAAGUUUCAACUCCAUUAAUAUAUGUUCAUUCUCCAUCUACAACGUUGGGUCUUGCCACUAUAUAAAUGUUAGUCAACUUAAAAUCAUGGUUACAGUUUCUCUAAUAUUGUGACUGAUCUUCUUCAAUAUCUCCUAUUAAGACGGACAAUGUUUAAUAUUUUUAUAUAUUAUUUUUUAAGUGUAAAAGUUGACAUUUUGUUAUC